AAACUUCUUUAUCACCGAGUGCUUGCACUCACCGAUAAAGAGUUGAGUGGCGAACGGGUGAGUAACACGUGGGCAACCUGCCCAAAAGAGGGGGAUAACACUUGGAAACAGGUGCUAAUACCGCAUAACCAUAGUUACCGCAUGGUAACUAUGUAAAAGGUGGCUAUGCUACCGCUUUUGGAUGGGCCCGCGGCGCAUUAGCUAGUUGGUGAGGUAAAGGCUUACCAAGGCAAUGAUGCGUAGCCGAACUGAGAGGUUGAUCGGCCACAUUGGGACUGAGACACGGCCCAAACUCCUACGGGAGGCAGCAGUAGGGAAUCUUCCACAAUGGGCGAAAGCCUGAUGGAGCAACGCCGCGUGGGUGAAGAAGGUCUUCGGAUCGUAAAACCCUGUUGUUAGAGAAGAAAG
rnacentral:rRNA from 2 species